ACGAGGAGUACUUGUGACACCUUAGAGCAGGGAAAUGGGACCCUGGCAUCCAGGGACCUGGAUUCCAUUGUCAGCUUUGACUCAGGGUGCCCUUAGCCUGGAAUAAUUCGUCAGGAAAAACUUCAGGGGCCAGGCUGGUGCAAUGGGGCUCCCCAGGAAGUGGGCUGGCCCAUGGUAUAUUUGCCAUGGACCUGUGGCACCAUUAUUAGAUAUCAGCUCCCUGGAAGUCCUUGUCAAAUCA